AUAUAUAUAUAUAUAUAUAUAUAUAUAUUAUAUAUUCCAUAAUUUGAUCAUCAAAACUUAUACUGUGUGCAAUUUGUCAUACUCCAGCAUCCCAAUACUAGAACUGAACUACUCAGAAAAGCAACAGCAGAGGACACCAUUCUCAUUGGUAAGUACAGGAGUAAGAUGUACUCCUUGGUCAUCCCUAACUUCUUUGUAUAUGUUCUAACAAAGCUGUACUACUUCCUGUGAAGAAGAGAGAUAAUAUUAGCCUUCCUCAUAAUACCUAUACUUAGAAAGGCCUAUUGAAAAAUUUGUCCCUUUGCUCAGAAUUUUAGAACAGUCUCAACAACCAAAGGAAUAAGAGGCUCAUGGUGCCAAAGUAGUUUUAUGUAAACAAUGCUGUGUUUUCUGAACUGCUUUUCUUAUGAACAUCUAUAUUUUGUUCAACUCUUAUGGCAGAACAUAGAGGAUUAGCUGUCAUCCUUCCUCAGAAUGAAACCUUUGCACAUGUAUUUAAUAAACUCCCCUCACACAAAAUAUUUCACUUGGAUUGUCACAAUGUGGUAGUUGGAGAUUGGGCUCAUCUUGCAUGAGUAAAUCAAAAGAACAAUUUGAAUUUGCAAGUGGUUUACUCCAGACCAGAUUAAACCAACUGAUAAGAAAAAAUAAUAAUUAAUAAACAUAUGAUUUUAUAAUGCAUGUUGUUUAAUAUCAAACCAGAAGUUUGAAUGGUAUUCUUAUCAAAUUUCAAAAAUCUGAACAUGGCGUCAGAUGCGGAGAGAUCAAUUCUCUGACCUCUUCAGCUGCGCAGACAAAGGGAGUCUUAAACCAUCUGAAUGCUGUUUGCUCAGGAUCACUAGGCAAUGCUGUGCUUACGUGGACCUGGGGCGAACAGUCUGCACCCCUCAGAACACACACCCAGCCCAGAGCGGGAGAAUUCAGGCUCCUGUAAGCCUGCGUCUCACAGCCAAACCGCUGCAACUCAGUGCUACAAACGCUCCCACUGAAUAGAGAAACAACUCAUCAGCUCCUCCAUGAACCUUUUGAGAUUAAUACCAACCGAGCCUUCAUAGGCAGCAGUCACACGAUUGAGACGAGGCUUGGGAGAGCCGGUCGGAACACACCCGUUGCAUCGGACACCCGGCAAAGGGAAGGAACGGCCACCAUUCGCAUGGGUCAUCACCAUGGCAGAGAACUGACAUCACCAGAAUGUGGCGGAGAUAACUUCAUUGAAACAGGCAGCUGCAGGUGAGUAACCCCCUAGCCCUUCCUAAACACACAGCAGGGAAACCUCAAGGGCCCCUCCCAGCUCUCCCGUGAGCUCGAUAGUCAGACCAAGGGAAUCAGGAGCGGCAUGGGACCCCAGGCUACCGCUCCCACCAGCACUGACAACUGAGGUCUCUUGCACCAGCUCCCGGGGGCGUGGCUACUGGAGGGCAGGCAAAAUACGCAGACAGUUCUCAGCCCCAUGCUCCACAACCUUAGGGUCUGGGGGAAUGGCAAGCAGGGAGAGAGUGCCCAGUGGUUCAAGAAAAUAGGGCUCUCUGGAGCAGCAGACCUGGUGUGUAGCCAGUAUUGUGGUGAGCAUCACUGGUGAACGGGGUCUGGCUGGAGGAAAAGUGGGGAAGUGACUAGACACAAGAAAAGGCCCUAGACAUGCAGGAUUGGAGAGCCGCCCAGUGGGGGAGGAGGAGCCGCUUCACAAUAAUUGGUUCCUGCAUAUUGAGAGGAGAAGCUUGGCCCGGUGGGCACAGCUCCACCUACUGGAAGAGAAGUUAAUCCAACUCUAAGACUGCAUUUUUUUUUUAAACAGAGCGUGUGUGUGAGAGAGAGAGAGACAGAGACAUAGAGAAUUUUUUAAUAUUUAUUUUUUGUUUUCGGCGGACACAGUAUCUUUGUUUGUAUGUGGUGCUGAGGAUUGAACCCAGGCCACACGCAUGCCAGGCAAGCAUGCU
rnacentral:lncRNA from 1 species